UCCCUGUUGCCAGGGCAGUCUAGCUAGAGAAAUUCAACUAACUAUAAGGGUUGCGCUCGUUGAUGGACUUAACCAAACAUCUCACGACACGAGCUGACGACGGCCAUGCAGCACCUGUCACUGCGCUCAAUAAAGCACUCUCUCCUUUCGGAGAAAUUCGCAGGAUGUCAAACCUGGGUAAGGUUCUUCGCUUACCGUCGAAUUAAACAACACGCUCCACCGCUUGUGCGGGUCCCCGUCAAUUCCUUUAUGUUUUAAGCUUGCGCUCGUACUCCACAGGCGGGAUGCUUAACGCGUUAGCUUCGCUACUACAAGGGUCGAUACUCGUAACAGCUAGCAUCCAUAGUUUACGGCGUGGACUAC
rnacentral:misc_RNA from 1 species